rnacentral:rRNA from 1 species
UGGGGAAUAUUGCACAAUGGGCGAAAGCCUGAUGCAGCAACGCCGCGUGAGUGAUGAAGGUCUUCGGAUUGUAAAGCUCUGUCUUUUGGGACGAUAAUGACGGUACCAAAGGAGGAAGCCACGGCUAACUACGUGCCAGCAGCCGCGGUAAUACGUAGGUGGCGAGCGUUGUCCGGAUUUACUGGGCGUAAAGGGUGCGUAGGCGGAUGUUUAAGUGAGAUGUGAAAUACCCGGGCUUAACUUGGGUGCUGCAUUUCAAACUGGAUAUCUAGAGUGCAGGAGAGGAGAAUGGAAUUCCUAGUGUAGCGGUGAAAUGCGUAGAGAUUAGGAAGAACACCAGUGGCGAAGGCGAUUCUCUGGACUGUAACUGACGCUGAGGCACGAAAGCGUGGGUAGCAAACAGGAUUAGAUACCCUGGUAGUCCACGCCGUAAACGAUGAGUACUAGGUGUAGGAGGUAUCGACCCCUUCUGUGCCGCAGUAAAACACACUAAGUACUCCGCCUGGGAAGUACGAUCGCAAGAUUAAAAAC